AAUCAAAACUUUCAACAACGGAUCUCUUGGUUCUGGCAUCGAUGAAGAACGCAGCGAAAUGCGAUAAGUAAUGUGAAUUGCAGAAUUCAGUGAAUCAUCGAAUCUUUGAACGCACAUUGCGCCCGCCAGUAUUCUGGCGGGCAUGCCUGUCCGAGCGUCA
rnacentral:rRNA from 5 species